AGGAUGAACGCUGGCGGUCUGCUUAACACAUGCAAGUCGAACGGGCGUAGCAAUACGUUAGUGGCGGACGGGUGAGUAACGCGUGAGAAUCUACCUUCAGGACGGAGACAACAGUUGGAAACGACUGCUAACCCCCGAUGUACUGAAAAGGCAAAUAUUUAUAGCCUGAAGAAGAGCUCGCGUCCGAUUAGCUAGUUGGAGAGGUAAAAGCUCACCAAGGCGACGAUCGGUAGCUGGUCUGAGAGGACGAUCAGCCACACUGGGACUGAGACACGGCCCAGACUCCUACGGGAGGCAGCAGUGGGAAUUUUCCGCAAUGGGCGAAAGCCUGACGGAGCAAGACCGCGUGGGGAAGAAGGCUCUUGGGUUGUAAACCCCUUUUCUCUGGGAAGAAGUUGUGAAGCAGCCUGACGGUACCAGAGGAAUCAGCAUCGGCUAACUCCGCGCCAGCAGCCGC
rnacentral:rRNA from 1 species